UAGACGCUGAAGAGAGGAGCUUGCUCUUCUUGGAUGAGUUGCGAACGGGUGAGUAACGCGUAGGUAACCUGCCUUGUAGCGGGGGAUAACUAUUGGAAACGAUAGCUAAUACCGCAUAACAAUGGAUGACACAUGUCAUUUAUUUGAAAGGGGCAAUUGCUCCACUACAAGAUGGACCUGCGUUGUAUUAGCUAGUAGGUGAGGUAACGGCUCACCUAGGCGACGAUACAUAGCCGACCUGAGAGGGUGAUCGGCCACACUGGGACUGAGACACGGCCCAGACUCCUACGGGAGGCAGCAGUAGGGAAUCUUCGGCAAUGGGGGCAACCCUGACCGAGCAACGCCGCGUGAGUGAAGAAGGUUUUCGGAUCGUAAAGCUCUGUUGUAAGUCAAGAACGAGUGUGAGAGUGGAAAGUUCACACUGUGACGGUAGCUUACCAGAAAGGGACGGCUAACUACGUGCCAGCAGCCGCGGUAAUACGUAGGUCCCGAGCGUUGUCCGGAUUUAUUGGGCGUAAAGCGAGCGCAGGCGGUUUGAUAAGUCUGAAGUUAAAGGCUGUGGCUCAACCAUAGUUCGCUUUGGAAACUGUCAAACUUGAGUGCAGAAGGGGAGAGUGGAAUUCCAUGUGUAGCGGUGAAAUGCGUAGAUAUAUGGAGGAACACCGGUGGCGAAAGCGGCUCUCUGGUCUGUAACUGACGCUGAGGCUCGAAAGCGUGGGGAGCGAACAGGAUUAGAUACCCUGGUAGUCCACGCCGUAAACGAUGAGUGCUAGGUGUUGGAUCCUUUCCGGGAUUCAGUGCCGCAGCUAACGCAUUAAGCACUCCGCCUGGGGAGUACGACCGCAAGGUUGAAACUCAAAGGAAUUGACGGGGGCCCGCACAAGCGGUGGAGCAUGUGGUUUAAUUCGAAGCAACGCGAAGAACCUUACCAGGUCUUGACAUCCCGAUGCUAUUUCUAGAGAUAGAAAGUUACUUCGGUACAUCGGUGACAGGUGGUGCAUGGUUGUCGUCAGCUCGUGUCGUGAGAUGUUGGGUUAAGUCCCGCAACGAGCGCAACCCCUAUUGUUAGUUGCCAUCAUUCAGUUGGGCACUCUAGCGAGACUGCCGGUAAUAAACCGGAGGAAGGUGGGGAUGACGUCAAAUCAUCAUGCCCCUUAUGACCUGGGCUACACACGUGCUACAAUGGUUGGUACAACGAGUUGCGAGUCGGUGACGGCAAGCUAAUCUCUUAAAGCCAAUCUCAGUUCGGAUUGUAGGCUGCAACUCGCCUACAUGAAGUCGGAAUCGCUAGUAAUCGCGGAUCAGCACGCCGCGGUGAAUACGUUCCCGGGCCUUGUACACACCGCCCGUCACACCACGAGAGUUUGUAACACCCGAAGUCGGUGAGGUAACCUUUNNAGCCAGCC
rnacentral:rRNA from 1 species